rnacentral:tRNA from 1 species
CUAAGGAUAAUCGGAAAGUGACAGUACAUUAGAUUGUAAAUUUUGGAAGUUCAAAGUUUUGUUUAGUUUUGAGUGUGGUACUGUAAUAGGUAUCAUGGUCAAAAAUGAUCCUAUGGGGAAUUAGCUCAGCUGGGAGAGCACCUGCUUUGCAAGCAGGGGGUCAGCGGUUCGAUCCCGCUAUUCUCCAUAGACAGCCGAAAGGUUGUCGAGGUUGUACAUUGAAAACUGAAUAGUAACAAAUUCUUUUAAAUAAUUGAAAAAUUAAUUAAAUUGAACCGAGAAACAACACAAAAAAGUUCUUUAAUAAAGAACGGUUUAAUCGCAGGUCUGAAAAAUGACCAACUCAUAAACUUAAACCACAACUUCGGUUGUAUA